rnacentral:sRNA from 1 species
AUACUCAUCUUUGGUCAAAAUUCCAUCCUUUGGUCUUCAAAAGCUUGGGGACUUGGAGUGAGUGAUCCCUCACCCUCCUCCAAUAUUUCAAUAGUUUGCCGUGCUUAGCAGCCAUGGUCAUGUCUCACAGAGCUAAAGGAACCAUCUAAGCAAGCAGAGUGUCUCGGCCAAUGUCUAGCAGACCGACAAGUCACAGAACGGCGGGCUCUGUUUAUGAGUCUU